rnacentral:rRNA from 1 species
GACGAACGCUGGCGGCGUGCCUAAUACAUGCAAGUAGAACGCUGAAGCUUGGUGCUUGCACCGAGCGGAUGAGUUGCGAACGGGUGAGUAACGCGUAGGUAACCUGCCUGGUAGCGGGGGAUAACUAUUGGAAACGAUAGCUAAUACCGCAUAACAGUAGAUAUCGCAUGAUAGCUACUUGAAAGGUGCAAAUGCACCACUACCAGAUGGACCUGCGUUGUAUUAGCUAGUUGGUGAGGUAACGGCUCACCAAGGCAACGAUACAUAGCCGACCUGAGAGGGUGAUCGGCCACACUGGGACUGAGACACGGCCCAGACUCCUACGGGAGGCAGCAGUAGGGAAUCUUCGGCAAUGGACGGAAGUCUGACCGAGCAACGCCGCGUGAGUGAAGAAGGGUUUCGGAUCGUAAAGCUCUGUUGUAAGAGAAGAGCGAGUGUGAGAGUGGAAAGUUCACACUGUGACGGUAUCUUACCAGAAAGGGACGGCUAACUACGUG